AUGGCAAAAACUGAGAAAAUUGCCUUCAUUCUUGAACAAGUUCGCCUUUGCUUAGAUCGUCAGGAUUAUGUUCGUGCUCAAAUUCUGUCGAGGAAGAUUAGUCCUAGAGUAUUUGAUGUUGACCCUUCUAAGGAGAAGAAUAAACCCAAGGAAGGUGACAAUAUUGUAGAAGAGCUC